GUCCCUUCGGGGACAUUCGAUAAAAUUAAAAUGAUACAGAGAAUAUUAACAUGACCCCCGAGCAAGGAUGACACACAAAAUCAAGUAUUCUUGUUAUCAAUAUUC